ACGCUGGCGGCGUGCUUAACACAUGCAAGUCGAACGAGAGCGUAGAGAAAGCUUGCUUUUUCUACAAUCUAGUGGCAAACGGGUGAGUAACGCGUAAACAACCUGCCCUACGGAUGGGGACAACAGCUGGAAACGGCUGCUAAUACCGAAUACGUUCCGAAAGUCGCAUGACUGUCGGAAGAAAGGAUGGCCUCUAUUUAUAAGCUAUCGCCGGAGGAGGGGUUUGCGUCUGAUUAGCUAGUUGGAGGGGUAACGGCCCACCAAGGCGACGAUCAGUAGCCGGUCUGAGAGGAUGAACGGCCACAUUGGAACUGAGACACGGUCCAGACUCCUACGGGAGGCAGCAGUGGGGAAUCUUCCGCAAUGGGCGAAAGCCUGACGGAGCAACGCCGCGUGAGUGAAGACGGCCUUCGGGUUGUAAAGCUCUGUUAUACGGGACGAAUAAUCUUGUGGUUAAUACCCAUAAGAAGUGACGGUACCGUAAGAGAAAGCCACGGCUAACUACGUGCCAGCAGCCGCGGUAAUACGUAGGUGGCAAGCGUUGUCCGGAAUUAUUGGGCGUAAAGGGCGCGCAGGCGGCUUCUUAAGUCUGUCUUAAAAGUGCGGGGCUUAACCCCGUGAUGGGAUGGAAACUGGGAAGCUCAGAGUAUCGGAGAGGAAAGCGGAAUUCCUAGUGUAGCGGUGAAAUGCGUAGAUAUUAGGAGGAACACCAGUGGCGAAAGCGGCUUUCUGGACGAAAACUGACGCUGAGGCGCGAAAGCCAGGGGAGCGAACGGGAUUAGAUACCCCGGUAGUCCUGGCCGUAAACGAUGGGUACUAGGUGUAGGAGGUAUCGACCCCUUCUGUGCCGGAGUUAACGCAAUAAGUACCCCGCCUGGGGAGUACGGCCGCAAGGUUGAAACUCAAAGGGAAUUGACGGGGGCCCGCACAAGCGG
rnacentral:rRNA from 1 species